rnacentral:rRNA from 1 species
CCUGGUUGAUCCUGCCAGUAGUCAUAUGCUUGUCUCAAAGAUUAAGCCAUGCAUGUGUAAGCACACACUGUUUUAAAAGUGAAGCCGCGAAUGGCUCAUUACAACAGCCACAGUUUAUUAGAACUUACAUACAUGGAUAACUGUGGUAAUUCUAGAGCUAAUACACGCACAAAAACUUCAACUAUACAAUGGUUGAAGUGCUUUUAUUAGAACAAAAACCGAACGGCGUUCGACUUGUGUUGAACGUCGAAACUCUUUGGUGAAUCUGAAUAACUAUUUCUGAUCGCAUGGUCUAGCACCGGCGACAUCACUUUCAAGUGUCUGCCUUAUCAACCUUCGAUGGUAGUCUAUGCGACUACCAUGGUGAUAACGGGUAACGGAGAAUCAGGGUUCGACUCCGGAGAGGGAGCCUGAGAAACGGCUACCACAUCCAAGGAAGGCAGCAGGCGCGCAAAUUACCCACUCCCAGCUUGGGGAGGUAGUGACGAAAAAUAACGAGACGAUUCUCGUUUGAGAAACGUUAUCGAAAUGAGUACGCUUUACACACGCUAACGAGUAGCAAUUGGAGGGCAAGUCUGGUGCCAGCAGCCGCGGUAAUUCCAGCUCCAAUAGCGUAUAUUAAAGUUGUUGCAGUUAAAAAGCUCGUAGUUGAACCUUGGGCUUGGUUGGCCGGUCCGCCUUUUUGGCGAGUACUGGACCCAACCGAGCCUUUCCUUCUGGCUAACCUUUCGCCCUUGUGGUGUUUGGCGAACCAGGACUUUUACUUUGAAAAAAUUAGAGUGCUCAAAGCAGGUUGUGAUGCCUGAAUAAUGGUGCAUGGAAUAAUAGAAUACGAUCUCGGUUCUAUUUUGUUGGUUUUCGAACCGGAGAUAAUGAUUGAAAGGAACAGACGGGGGCAUUCGUAUUGCUGCGUUAGAGGUGAAAUUCUUGGAUCGCAGCAAGAUGAACAAUUGCGAAAGCAUUUGCCAAGAAUGUUUUCAUUAAUCAAGAACGAAAGUUAGAGGUUCGAAGGCGAUCAGAUACCGCCCUAGUUCUAACGGUAAACUAUGCCAACCAGCGAUUCGCCGAAGUUCAUUUAAGACUCGGCGAGCAGCUUCCGGGAAACCAAAGUGUUUCGGUUCCGGGGGAAGUAUGGUUGCAAAGCUGAAACUUAAAGGAAUUGACGGAAGGGCACCACCAGGAGUGGAGCCUGCGGCUUAAUUUGACCCAACACGGGAAAACUCACCCGGCCCGGACACUGAAAGGAUUGACAGAUUGACAGCUCUUUCUUGAUUCAGUGGGUAGUGGUGCAUGGCCGUUCUUAGUUGGUGGAGCGAUUUGUCUGGUUAAUUCCGAUAACGAACGAGACUCUACCCUAUUAAAUAGUGACAGUAUUGCAUAUUCUGUGCUGAUCACUUCUUAGAGGGACUGGCAAAUUGAAAGCUGCACGAAAAAGAGCAAUAACAGGUCUGUGAUGCCCUUCGAUGUCCGGGGCUGCACGCGCGCUACAAUGAAAGCGUCAACGUGAGUUACGUCCUUACCUGAAAAGGUUUGGCAAUCGAUUGAAACGUUUUCUUGAAUGGAAUAGGGAAUUGCAAUUGUUUCCCUUGAACGAGGAAUUCCCAGUAAGCGUGAGUCAUUAGCUCGCGUUGAUUACGUCCCUGCCCUUUGUACACACCGCCCGUCGCUACUACCGAUUGGAUGAUUUAGUGAGGUGUUUUGACUAGCGCCUGUAGUCGGAUGUAUAUUCGGCUUCGCGCCGGGAAAUUUCCCAAACCAAAUCAUCUAGAGGAAGUAAAAGUCGUAACAAGGUUUCCGUAGGUGAACCUGCGGAAG